rnacentral:rRNA from 1 species
GCUUAAAGGGGCUGUAGCCGGUUUGAUCAGUUCUUCGGGAAAUCUGACAGCUCAACUGUUAGGCUUCCGGGGAAUACUGUCAGACUUGGGACCGGGAGAGGUAAGAGGUACUACAGGGGUAGGAGUGAAAUCUUGUAAUCCCUGUGGGACCACCAGUGGCGAAGGCGUCUUACCAGAACGGGUCCGACGGUGAGGGACGAAAGCUGGGGGCACGAACCGGAUUAGAUACCCGGGUAGUCCCAGCCGUAAACGAUGUUCGCUAGGUGUCAGGGGCGGUGCGACCGCUUCUGGUGCCGUAGGGAAGCCGUGAAGCGAACCACCUGGGAAGUACGGCCGCAAGGCUGAAACUUAAAGGAAUUGGCGGGGGAGCACUACAACGGGUGGAGCCUGCGGUUUAAUUGGACUCAACGCCGGAAAACUCACCGGGGGCGACAGCAAUAUGUAGGUCAAGCUAAAGACUUUACCUGAAUCGCUGAGAGGAGGUGCAUGGCCGUCGUCAGUUCGUACUGUGAAGCAUCCUGUUAAGUCAGGCAACGAGCGAGACCCGUGCCCACUGUUGCCAGCAUGUCCUUCGGGAUGAUGGGUACUCUGUGGGGACCGCUGGUGCUAAACCAGAGGAAGGUGCGGGCUACGGUAGGUCAGUAUGCCCCGAAUCUCCCGGGCUACACGCGGGCUACAAUGGUUGGGACAAUGGGUCCCUACACCGAAAGGUGAUGGUAAUCUCUUAAACCCAACCGUAGUUCGAAUCGAGGACUGUAACUCGUCCUCGUGAAGCUGGAAUCCGUAGUAAUCGCGUUUCAACAUAGCGCGGUGAAUACGUCCCUGCUCCUUGCACUCACCGCCCGUAU